ACAUUGCUGAAGAGUCCCAAACUAGGACGAAACAGCCGUCCAGUAC
rnacentral:hammerhead_ribozyme from 1 species